rnacentral:rRNA from 1 species
UACGAAGGGGGCUAGCGUUGCUCGGAAUCACUGGGCGUAAAGCGCACGUAGGCGGAUCUUUAAGUCAGGGGUGAAAUCCCAAGGCUCAACCUUGGAACUGCCUUUGAUACUGGGGAUCUCGAGUCCGGAAGAGGUUGGUGGAACUGCGAGUGUAGAGGUGAAAUUCGUAGAUAUUCGCAAGAACACCAGUGGCGAAGGCGGCCAACUGGUCCGGUACUGACGCUGAGGAGCGAAAGCGUGGGUAGCAAACAGG